rnacentral:rRNA from 1 species
UGGGGAAUAUUGCACAAUGGGCGCAAGCCUGAUGCAGCCAUGCCGCGUGUGUGAAGAAGGCCUUCGGGUUGUAAAGCACUUUCAGUCGUGAGGAAGGUAGUGUAGUUAAUAGCUGCAUUAUUUGACGUUAGCGACAGAAGAAGCACCGGCUAACUCCGUGCCAGCAGCCGCGGUAAUACGGAGGGUGCGAGCGUUAAUCGGAAUUACUGGGCGUAAAGCGCAUGCAGGUGGUUUGUUAAGUCAGAUGUGAAAGCCCGGGGCUCAACCUCGGAAUAGCAUUUGAAACUGGCAGACUAGAGUACUGUAGAGGGGGGAUAGAAGUUUCAGGUGUAGCGGUGAAAUGCGUAGAGAUCUGAAGGAAUACCGGUGGCGAAGGCGGCCCCCAUGGACAGAUACUGACACUCAGAUGCGAAAAGCG